rnacentral:rRNA from 1 species
UGGGGAUGACGUCAAGUCCUCAUGGCCCUUAUAGGUGGGGCUACACACGUCAUACAAUGGCUGGUACAAAGGGUUGCCCAACCCGCGAGGGGGAGCUAAUCCCAUAAAGCCAGUCGUAGUCCGGAUCGCAGUCUGCAACUCGACUGCGUGAAGUCGGAAUCGCUAGUAAUCGUGGAUCAGAAUGUCACGGUGAAUACGUUCCCGGGUCUU